rnacentral:misc_RNA from 1 species
CUGGAAUCGCAAGAUCCCACAACCCUGUGAACCUACCGAAACGUUGCCUCGGCGGGCGCCCGGCCUCGCGCCGGGCGCCGAGCCCGCCGGCGGCCCCCUACUCUUGUCUCUGCAGCGUGGCAUCUCAGAGUCCCAGAAAACAAGUCA